UACGGAGGGUGCAAGCGUUAUCCGGAUUCACUGGGUUUAAAGGGUGCGUAGGUGGGUUGGUAAGUCAGUGGUGAAAUCUCCGUGCUUAACAUGGAAACUGCCAUUGAUACUACUGAUCGUGAAUUUCUGGAGGUAAGCGGGAAUAUGUCAUGUAGCGGUGAAAAUGCUUAGAUAUGACAUGAGAACACCAAUUGCGAAAGGCAGGCUUGCCUACG
rnacentral:rRNA from 1 species